UACGUAGGGUGCGAGCGUUAAUCGGAAUUACUGGGCGUAAAGCGUGCGCAGGCGGUUUUGUAAGCCAGAUGUGAAAUCCCCGGGCUUAACCUGGGAAUGGCAUUUGGGACUGCAAGGCUCGAGUGCGGCAGAGGAGACUGGAAUUCCUGGUGUAGCAGUGAAAUGCGUAGAUAUCUGGAGGAACACCGGUGGCGAAGGCGGCAUCCUGGACCAUGACUGACGCUGAGGAGCGAAAGCCAGGGGAGCAAACGGG
rnacentral:rRNA from 1 species